UUAAAUCACUUGUUCUUCAGUUUUUCUUGACCCUCUUGCUUCCUCCUCCGCUGUCCAUUAUAUCUAACGAGUCUGACUUAUUCGUCUGAGUUAAGCAGGACGAAUCCGACUCACUAAUGUACAGAAGGAGAGCUACACUGCUCACAAUCAACUCCUUCACAGCUUUUUCCAAGGUACGUAGACCAUGCAAUUCUUUGUAUUCAAUCGAAUGGAUUAGUUUCGUGAGAAACCACAGCACUGCCGCUGAAAGAUCAGGUUUUCAAAACCCAAAUGGGUUAAAUGGAGAAGACAGUAUUGGCUACGAACAAAACCCUAAUGGGUUUUAUAGUGGAAACCAAAACCAUGUUGGGUUUCAGCAUAAAACUGAUGGGUAUGGUCAAGAAUGGAGGUAUAGGGGGAAUACAGGAGAGUUUGAGAAAAACCCAGAUGGGUUUUAUAAGGGAAACACAGUAGGUGUUCUGCAAAACCCUAGAGUUGAGUUUCGGCACAUACCAGUUGGUAUUUCUAGAGGAAGCAACAGUAGUGAAUAUCAGGGGAACCCAUUUGACAAUAACCCAGAUGGGUUUUAUAGGGAAAAUGCGGCAAGACUUCGGCAAAACUGUAGAGUUGAUUUUCAGCAUAAACCAAUUGGUCAAAAUGGGAACUUUGCAAGUGGUGAUUACAGAGAAAGCAACGGAAGAGAAUAUCUAGGGAACCCGAUUGCGCAAAAUAGGAGUAAUUUUACUGGGUCAAGUGGAGAAAUGCAGCAGAAUCCAAUGGGGAAACAUGGGUUUAGAGAAGGACAAUCGGUAGUCGAGCAGAACCGAAAUGGAUUUUCUGAACAGCGUGCAUCGGGGUUUUCGGGUGGUGUUAAUGGAAAUUAUGGCGGGAGUGAUGGAGAAUUUAAGCAAGGUGCAAGUGAUCAUUAUCCGAAUAACUAUUCCACGGGAAACACUGGAAUGACUCCACAGAGCCCUGAUAUUUAUUACUCAGGAAACUCAGUUGUGUCUCAGCAUCAUCAAGGGAACUAUUAUGGGAGCAAUGAUCAAAUGAAUCCGCGAACUCCAAUUGUAAAUGGUCGUUACUCCGUAAACACUAGAUUGACAAAUCAAAACUCGAAUGACUUUUAUAGGGGAAAUGGGGAAAUGGCCGAACAAAACCCUAGUAACUUUCGUCCAGGAAGCACCAGUUCAUAUCAACAUGGCAUGGGUACCCAUUAUGAGGGCAGCGGUACAAUGUACCAGCAAAGCAGUGGUGUGUACCGUGGAGACAGUGCUGAAACUCCAAAUGGGCAUGUGAUGCAAAAUGUUGGAGAAAGUUGGCAGAACCUGAGUGGAAGUUACAAUACUAACACUCAAAAUUACGGACAGAAAUCAUUUGAGACGCAACAUGGAAUGAUGGAUUCUCAAGUAUCAGGUAAUUCUGAAGCUCAAGGAGAAUCAGUUGAAGGUGUGGAAAGAAGCCAACACAAUGGUACGAUAGAGGAGUUGGAUGGUUUUUGCAAGGAGGGAAAAUUGAAGGAAGUUGUCGAAGUGUUGGGACUAUUAGAGAGGCAGCAUAUCAGGGUUGAUUUGCCCCGUUACCUGAUGUUGAUGAAGGCAUGCAGGGAUAGUAAAGCUCUGAAAGAAGCAAAAUACAUUCACAAUCACCUAAUGAAAUCAGUUUCCAUUCUGGAAGUCAGCACUUAUAACAAGAUUUUAGAGAUGUAUGGACAAUGUGGUUCCAUGGAGGAUGCAUAUAUGGUGUUCAAUAAAAUGCCGCAGCGAAAUCUGACUUCUUGGGACACUAUGAUAAUUUGGCUUGCCAAGAAUGGUCAUGGAGAGGAGGCGAUUGAUUUGUUCGCUCAAUUCAAGAAAUCAGGACUGAAACCUGAUGGGCCCAUGUUCUUUGGAGUCUUCUCUGCUUGCACCGUAUUGGGGGACAUCGUUGAAGGAAUGUUGCACUUUGAAUCAAUGAGCAAGGAUUAUGGAAUUUCCCCAUCCAUGGUGCAUUAUGUUAGUGUAGUGGACAUGUUAGGAAGUGUAGGGUAUUUGGAUGAAGCAUUAGAGUUUAUUGAAAAAAUGCCAGUGGAACCAAAUGUAGUAGUUUGGGAGACGUUGAUGAAUGCAAGUAGAGUUCAUGGCCACACGGAGCUUGGGGAUCGUUGUGCUGAGCUGGUGGAGCUCGUGGACCCUACUCGCUUGGAUGAGAAAUCAAAAGCAGGUCUCAUACCAGUGAAAGCGUCAGACAUAGCAAAAGACAAGGAGAAGAAGAAAUUGGAGGCUGGCAAUCUUCUAGCAGCCAGGAGUAGGGUCCACGAAUACAGGGCAGGGGAUAAAUCUCAUCCAGAGGCGGAUAAGAUCUAUGCGCAGCUUAGGGGUAUGAAGGAACAGAUGAAAGAAGCUGGUUAUGUGCCGGAGACUAGAUUUGUGCUCCAUGACAUAGACCAAGAAUCGAAGGAGGAAGCUCUUCUUGCUCAUAGCGAGAGGCUUGCUGUUGCUUUUGGUCUCAUGAGUAGCCCGGCUCGUGCACAAAUGCGCAUAAUCAAGAACCUUCGUGUUUGUGGUGACUGCCAUAGUGCGUUGAAGAUCAUCUCGAAACUGGUUGGACGGGAACUUGUCAUACGAGAUGCUAAGAGGUUUCACCAUUUCAAAGAUGGUUUGUGUUCUUGCCGUGAUUACUGGUGAAGAAAUCGUAUCUGAGGUACUGUUUAUCCAAUUCUCCUAGCAGUCUUUUCGUGAAAGUGCCAAUGAAUGCGGUAUCUAUUUAUGAUAGGGGUAUGCAUUUUUUUCUGCGGACCUUGAGUGUGCUAAGAAAAGAUGCAAUGGAUGUAGAUCUCACUAACAGAAUAACUGCAAGCCUGCCUCGCAUGGAAACAGAUCAAGCGAGACAAAUGCUGUGCAAUACAUGAAGCAUUUUGGAAGCAGCUGGAUUUUUUCCAUGAGGAUAGAAAUACAAUAGUCUUUGACUCUUUUCUCGGUGCUCUGCGUGUGCAUUAUUUGUAAGGUGGAUGGUGCUUGGAUACCAAUACCAUGCACAGAGCUUGAGUUGAACGUAUGCGAUUCAUAUUUAAAGUUCAUAGCACUAUAGUUUUAGUUUGACACAAUGUUGUUGAUGAGAUGUAUUAAGAUUCCUAAUUUAUGAUCAUAUGGAAGCUUCUUAGUUCCUAUAUUUUGC